rnacentral:rRNA from 1 species
UACGGGGGGAGCAAGCGUUGUUCGGAUUUACUGGGCGUAAAGGGCGCGUAGGCGGCCAGCGCAAGUCAGUUGUGAAAUCUCCGGGCUUAACUCGGAACGGUCAAGUGAUACUGUCGUGCUAGAGUACAGAAGGGGCAACUGGAAUUCUCGGUGUAGCGGUGAAAUGCGUAGAUAUCGAGAGGAACACCUGCGGCGAAGGCGGGUUGCUGGGCUGAUACUGACGCUGAGGCGCGAAAGCUAGGGGAGCGAAUGGG